GAUGAAGAACGUAGCGAAAUGCGAUAAGUAAUGUGAAUUGCAGAAUUCCGUGAAUCAUCGAAUCUUUGAACGCACAUUGCGCCCUCUGGUAUUCCGGGGGGCAUGCCUGUCCGAGCGUCAUUUGCAACCCUCAAGCCCGGCUUGUGUGAUGGGUGCCGUCCCCUACGGGACGCGCCCCGAAGGCAAUGGCGGCGUCGCGGUUAUCCGAUCAGCCAAAGUGUAUGGGGCUUUGUCACUCACUUUACGGCCCGGACCGGCGCCAGUCCGAAUCAAUCUUUUUUCUAAAGUUGACCUCGGAUCAGGUAGGGAUACCCGCUGAACUUAAGCAUAUCAAUAAGCGGAAGA
rnacentral:misc_RNA from 1 species